GCUACAUGCCAAUGCUGCAGAUGUCCCCAAAUGUGCUUCACACCAGGACAAUCAAUCAUGCAAUGGUUGUCUCUGCUUUUUGAGUGCUGGAAUUACACUAUAUGCUACCACAUCUGACUCCAAGCCUCAAGUCCAACUAGAGAGUUGCUGGUUACUGCUAAGAACCUUCGCCCAGUGAUGUAUGGAGAUAGAGACAGAGACCCACAUCAGAGCACUGGAC